GAUGAACGCUGGCGGCGUGCCUAAUACAUGCAAGUCGAGCGAACAGACGAGGAGCUUGCUCCUCUGACGUUAUCGGCGGACGGGUGAGUAACACGUGGAUAACCUACCUAUAAGACUGGGAUAACUUCGGGAAACCGGAGCUAAUACCGGAUAAUAUAUUGAACCGCAUGGUUCAAUAGUGAAAUACGGUUUUUCUGUCAGUUAUAGAUGGAUCCGCGCCGCAUUAGCUAGUUGGUAAGGUAACGGCUUACCAAGGCAACGAUGCGUAGCCGACCUGAAAGCGUCGUCCGCCACCCUGGAACUGAGAACGAGCCGCCACUCCUACGGGAGGACGCAGUACGGAAUCUUACGCAAUGGGCGAAAGCCUAACGGAGCAACGCGGCGUGAAUCAUGAAGGUCUUAGGACCCUAAAACUCUGUUAUUAGGAAAGAACAAAUGUGUAAGUACCCAUGCACGUAUUGACGGUACCUAAUCAAAAAGCCACGGCUAACUACGUG
rnacentral:rRNA from 1 species